UACGGGGGGGGCAAGCGUUGUUCGGAAUUACUGGGCGUAAAGGGCGCGUAGGCGGCCAACUAAGUCGGAUGUGAAAUCCCCAGGCUUAACCUGGGAACUGCAUCCGAUACUGGAUGGCUUGAAUCCGGGAGAGGGAUGCAGAAUUCCAGGUGUAGCGGUGAAAUGCGUAGAUAUCUGGAGGAAUACCGGUGGCGAAGGCGGCAUCCUGGACCGGCAUUGACGCUGAGGGAGCGAAAGCCAGGGGAGCAAACGGG
rnacentral:rRNA from 1 species